rnacentral:rRNA from 1 species
UACGAAGGGGGCUAGCGUUGCUCGGAAUUACUGGGCGUAAAGGGCGCGUAGGCGGACAGUUUAGUCAGAGGUGAAAGCCCAGGGCUCAACCUUGGAAUAGCCUUUGAUACUGACUGUCUUGAGUUCGGGAGAGGUGAGUGGAAUGCCGAGUGUAGAGGUGAAAUUCGUAGAUAUUCGGCGGAACACCAGUGGCGAAGGCGACUCACUGGCCCGAUACUGACGCUGAGGCGCGAAAGCAUGGGGAGCGAACAGG